CCUACGGGAGGCAGCAGUGGGGAAUUUUGGACAAUGGGCGCAAGCCUGAUCCAGCAAUGCCGCGUGCAGGAUGAAGGCCUUCGGGUUGUAAACUGCUUUUGUACGGAACGAAACGGUUCGCUUUAAUAAAGUGGGCUAAUGACGGUACCGUAAGAAUAAGCACCGGCUAACUACGUGCCAGCAGCCGCGGUAAUACGUAGGGUGCGAGCGUUAAUCGGAAUUACUGGGCGUAAAGCGUGCGCAGGCGGUGAUGUAAGACAGAUGUGAAAUCCCCGGGCUCAACCUGGGACCUGCAUUUGUGACUGCAUCGCUAGAGUACGGUAGAGGGGGAUGGAAUUCCGCGUGUAGCAGUGAAAUGCGUAGAUAUGCGGAGGAACACCGAUGGCGAAGGCAAAUCCCCUGGACCUGUACUGACGCUCAUGCACGAAAGCGUGGGGAGCAAACAGGAUUAGAUACCCUGGUAGUCCACGCCCUAAACGAUGUACAACUGGUUGUUGGUCUUCACUGACUCAGUAACGAAGCUAACGCGUAGAAGUUCGACCGCCGUGGGGAGGACGGCCGGCGACGGUAGUAAACGUUAAAGUAAGUAAGUUAGUACGGACGUAGAGACGUAGACGACGACGACGACGAGGGAGGAGG
rnacentral:rRNA from 1 species